AUUACUACAAUGACAUUCAUCUUCUUCUUGAUUUUAGGAAUGUAUUGUGAAGGUUCUGCAGGACAGCUGACUGUAAUUCAGACUCCAACAGAGAAACAUGUUCAGAAUGGACAAACGGUCACUCUGACCUGUAAAACCAGCAGCUCCAUUGGACGCCAGUCAGAUGGAGAUUGUAAGUCUUGUGUCUCCUGGUACUUACAGAAACCUGGAGAAGCUCCUAAACUUUUAGUUCACAGCAUCAAAACCCUUCAUACUGGAACCCCAUCUAGAUUCAGUGGAAAUGGAGCCGAUCAUGGAACUGAUUUCUCUCUGACCAUCAAUGGAGUCCAGACUGAAGAUACAGGACAUUAUUACUGUCAGAGUUACCACUGGAUCAACAGUAAAGGAGUGUUCACACAGUGAUAAAGAGUCUUACAAAAACCUCCAUCAGUCAGAGUCACAGUGACUGCACUGAUACAGCUGAGAGAUACUGCAGCUGCUCAUAAACACAACGAUGAGCAGAUUAAAAGAAAAAAAACUAAACACUAAUAACAAAAUAACUAAUAACAGCUUAUUUUCGGUUCAUAGUUUUUCUCACUCUAAAAUCAGCAAAAAUCAGGUGCAGCAGUAUAGCAAAAAGUUGUAACUAUACAAAUAUUACCUAU